CUACGGGGUGCACCAGUGGGGAAUAUUGCACAAUGGGGGGAACCCUGAUGCAGCAACGCCGCGUGGAGGAUGACGCAUUUCGGUGUGUAAACUCCUUUUAUAUGUCAAGAAAAUGACGGUAGCAUAUGAAUAAGCACCGGCUAACUCCGUGCCAGCAGCCGCGGUAAUGCGGAGGGUGCAAGCGUUACUCGGAAUCACUGGGCGUAAAGGACGCGUAGGCGGGUUGGAAAGUCAGGUGUGAAAUCCUACAGCUUAACUGUAGAACUGCACUUGAAACUUCUAAUCUAGAGUAUGGGAGGGGGAGAUGGAAUUAGUGGUGUAGGGGUAAAAUCCGUAGAUAUCACUAGGAAUACCUAAAGCGAAGGCGAUCUCCUGGAACAUUACUGACGCUAAGGCGUGAAAGCGUGGGGAGCAAACAGGAUUAGAUACCCCUGUAGUC
rnacentral:rRNA from 1 species